rnacentral:rRNA from 1 species
AUUGAACGCUGGCGGCAGGCCUAACACAUGCAAGUCGAACGAGUGGCGGACGGGUGAGUAAUGUCUGGGAAAGUGCCUGAUGGAGGGGUAUAAAUACUGGAAACGGUCGCUAAUCCCGCAUCCCAUCAGAUGUGCCGAGGUGGGAUUCGCUUGUUGGUGGGGUAACGGCACACCAAGGCGACGCUCCCUAGCUGGUCUGAGAGGAUGACCAGCCAGACUGGAACUGAGACACGGUCCAGACUCCGACGGUAGGCAGCAGUGGGGAAUAUUGCACAAUGGGCGCAAGCCUGAUGCAGCCAUGCCGCGUGUAUGAAGAAGGCCUUCGGGUUGUAAAGUACUUUCAGCGGGGAGGCGUUACCCGCAGAAGAAGCACCGGCUAACUCCGUGCCAGCAGCCGCGGUAAUAC